UUCCUGUGCUGMAUACCUAUCAYGAAGGCAUUCUGUCGGCUAAAAAUGUCCCUUUCCCGCCUUGCGCUGCGUGCUCCUCGUGAACWAGCGGUGCGGGGWGGGCCAUAUCGUGCACGUCGUGUAUCGCACCGCGUUCGACCCUCCGGGGCGUUCGGGUUGACGACCCMCGACGUGAUGCUCGAUAUCUCGGAUACRGAACAUCACGUGGGUACGAGGCCWUCGGCCUCCGAGCACCACAAAAAAGCGUUCUACGCUUCGUGCGAACGACCGUCGUUCCCGGCCUUGCGCCGCGCUCUCGUAGCUCGGUUCAAGUCGGGCCGACGUCGGUGAG
rnacentral:misc_RNA from 1 species